rnacentral:sRNA from 1 species
GCUGGGUAUAGUGGUGCAUGCCUGUAAUUCCAGUGGCUUGGGAGGCUGAGGCAGGAGGAUCUCAAGUUCAAAGCCAACCUCAGCAACUUAGUGAGGCCCUAAGCUAUUCCAUGAGACCUUGUCUCUA